rnacentral:lncRNA from 1 species
AGAGCACAGGGGCAGGCUGGGUCGCCUACCUGUCCCACAUAGGAUGCAGUUCUUUGGACGCCUCGUUAACACCCUCAGUAGUGUCACCAACUUGUUCUCAAACCCAUUCCGGGUAAAGGAGGUGUCCUUGGCUGACUAUGCCUCAAGUGAACGUGUUCGAGAGGAAGGGCAGCUGAUCCUGUUGCAGAAUGCUUCCAAUCGUACCUGGGACUGUGUCCUGGUCAGCCCUAGGAACCCACAGAGUGGCUUCCG